UACGUAGGGUGCAAGCGUUGUCCGGAAUUAUUGGGCGUAAAGAGCUCGUAGGCGGUCUGUCGCGUCGGCUGUGAAAACCCGGGGCUCAACCCCGGGCCUGCAGUCGAUACGGGCAGACUAGAGUGCGGUAGGGGAGACUGGAAUUCCUGGUGUAGCGGUGAAAUUCGUAGAUAUCGGGAGGAACACCAGUGGCGAAGGCGGCGACCUGGACGGACAUUGACGCUGAGACGCGAAAGCGUGGGGAGCAAACAGG
rnacentral:rRNA from 1 species